rnacentral:rRNA from 1 species
CCUACGGGUGGCAGCAGUGAGGAAUAUUGGUCAAUGGACGAGAGUCUGAACCAGCCAAGUAGCGUGAAGGAUGACUGCCCUAUGGGUUGUAAACUUCUUUUAUAUGGGAAUAAAAUGUUCCACGUGUGGGAUUUUGUAUGUACCAUAUGAAUAAGGAUCGGCUAACUCCGUGCCAGCAGCCGCGGUAAUACGGGGGAUCCGAGCGUUUUACGGAUUUUUUGGGUUUAAAGGGGGCGUAGGUGGAUUUGUAAGUCAGUUGUGAAAGUUUGCGGGUCAACCGUAAAAUUGCAGUUGAAACUGGCAGUCUUGAGUACAGUAGAGGUAGGCGGAAUGCGCGGUGUAGCGGUGAAAUGCUUAGAUAUCACGAAGAACUCCGAUUGCGAAGGCAGUUCACUGGAUUGAAACUGACACUGAGGCUCGAAAGUGUGGGUAUCAAACAGGAUUAGAUACCCGAGUAGUC